rnacentral:rRNA from 1 species
GAGGUCUCAAGCGUUGUUCGGAAUCACUGGGCGUAAAGCGUGCGUAGGCUGUUUCGUAAGUCGUGUGUGAAAGGCGCGGGCUCAACCCGCGGACGGCACAUGAUACUGCGAGACUAGAGUAAUGGAGGGGGAACCGGAAUUCUCGGUGUAGCAGUGAAAUGCGUAGAUAUCGAGAGGAACACUCGUGGCGAAGGCGGGUUCCUGGACAUUAACUGACGCUGAGGCACGAAGGCCAGGGGAGCGAA